CUUUAAAAGAGCGAUAGAGAAACGACUGGAAACGCAUGAAGCACGUUAUAACGUUAAAUAAUUGAGGAUUUAAUUCAACCAUAUACUUUGAUGAUAAUUAAUGUCUUUGUCCAUCAAUAAAAAUAAUAAAUUUUGGUUUUAACGUUUUUCGGUUUAAUGUUUGACGCAUAUGGUUAUAAAGGUGUGGGAACAGUUUUGGGCGACGUGGUGACUGUCCUUCCUCAUUUCCGAAAGCCAAAACUGAUUCUUCUUUAUCAACCAAAAAAAGUUAAAAAUACCUCUCUCGAAACAAACACGUGCUCUUAACCAUUCCUUUCAGUUCUGACAAUUCGUGGUACCCUCUUUUGGUUCCUGCUUUAGAGUAACACACAUAAUGAUUAAUGACAUAACUCAAACCGUGUGGUCUUCUAAUUCAAGGAAAUGGUUCACAUGCGGAAUAAUUGUAGUACAACUGAAGAGCAGUCCUAAUAGUAACAGAAACAUAUAGAUAAAUAUGUAUUUGUAGUAACUUUUAUUAUUAUUAACUAUGGUGUGGUGCAGUGGUUUGUAAUAUUCAGAGCUUUAAUAUGUUGAAAAAUCUAUACUAUACUAAAAGUUAAAUAAGCUUAAUAGGGAGAGUGUCCACGUAUGCAAAAAUAUUCAGACCAAUCACACUAUUGUAUUGUGCCAUGUCAGCGUUCUUCAGUCUAACCAACCGACGAUAUUGUUUUUCUUUUUGAUGACCUUUCCGAUUUCUCAUUCUCUACAGUUUAUCUAAUUUUUUUCAUUAACUUCGCCCAUGAAUCCUCUUCGACUCCUCUUUCUCUGCUCUCUCUAUAUCUAGCGAUGAAAAAACCCUAUCAAUCUCCGCCGGAAAUUAAGAUCCACUGAUUAAUCAAAAAAAAAAAAUUAAGAUCCACUGAAUGCGGCUUGCUUUAGUCGAUCUCAGCAAAGUACGAGAAUGUCGAGAAAACUCCUUCUGGAUCAGUCUUCGGAAAUCGUUUCUCAGCAGUUAUGUGAUGGAUGUGGCAUGUUAUUUAGAGAAUUGUCCAGAUUUGUAUUGGAAAGAUGCAUCUGCAGCCACAAGGGUCUGACAGAUUCCAUUUACCCACAUGGAAACCAGAGCUACGUACAUAGAGCUUGCUCAACAAAAAGGGAAAAUGCAGUUGUAAAUACAUUUCUGGUGGUAUAUUCAAGGCUGAUCUAGACUCCUGGUUAAGAGAUCUGUCAGUUUCAACAACAAAACUCUAGAGCCCACGAUCUUGGGAUUUUGUGGUAAAAUGGUUGUUGAGAAAUCCAUUCCCUUCAAAUGGAUGCAACCGGAGAGAAUGAUCUCGCUCUGAGUUACACAUUGUUGGGAUUUUUAGAUAAAUUUCAGUUCUUGAUCUGAGGAACCCCAAACGAAGCUGCUCUUAAGUUACAUAAAUUUUACAAAAUAUUUGGUACCAGGUGAAAGCUCGCAGGCUGUGCAGUGCUCGUGGAGCAAAGGUGUUACCUGUUAGUGUUUUGAUCUCAAAACUUCUGGUGUUAUUGUGUUGUCGUGAUCUUAUGUUGUAUGAUAAAUCCCCUUUGUUUCAAUCACAGGCAGAAACUCUUAGACUUUGGUGAGGUAAAGAUAAGUUAUAUAUCAUUCUUUGAUAUCAAGAAACAUGAAACCGUGAAUUCCAGGUGGGAUCUCGAGCUUGGACAAGAGCAGAUGAGGUUGGUAAAGGUUUGUGACCUUUGACAUCGGUAUGGACAUAACCUUCAUUUUUACUAUAAGUUGCUCCACUUCCAGAGUAGAGACCUUCUACUGGUUUGAUAUUGGCAAGGAGAAAGAAGUAAAACUUGUGAAGAAGUGUCUCGGUUGAAACUUCAACAUUAAUUAAGUACCUUGGUCUGGUUAGUAUAUAUUUCUUUUUGUUGACAUGAUUAUGCUUUGUGUAUAUGGAAAGGCAAGCUUCUGAGGUUUUUCUGAAAGACGGGAAAUUCUUUUACAAGAACAGUGGAGAUAUGCUUCAAACUUCUUCUAUGAAAGAUAGUGAUCCACAAAAAUUUUGGUGCUCAGCACAUCAAAAGUGUUAUAUGUUCGGAAGAAGGGGAAGUUUUAACAGUUAAGCUUCUUAGCUGGAGGAGCUAAUGUUGCUGCAUGAAGAAUUGUUGUUUAAAAUGGUGUUCUUACGGCUGUUUGGCCAUUGUCCAUGCUUGGUAGCAAUUUUUAAUUUUAGUAUAGUAGAUCAUAUAAAAAUAUAGAUUGAAAUUAACUGUGUUGUGAGUAUUGUUUUAUAGCUAAUAAGAAAACUGUGAAAAUUUAAUUUCAAAAAGCUUCA